CUGAGUGAGGGUCUCCGGGCCCGACCUCCAACCCUUCUGUGAACCACCUCGUUGCUUCGGGGGCGACCCUGCCGUUCGCGGCGCGGGGCCCCCGGAGCCCAUCAAAACCCUGCGUAACUGAGUCGUCGGAGUUUAAAACAAAUAAACA
rnacentral:misc_RNA from 1 species